GUCGAACGACCCGGACUAUGGCGGGGAGUGGCAGACUGCUCAGUAACACGUAGCUAAUCUACCCUCGGGACGGGGAUAACCCCGGGAAACUGGGGCUAAUACCCGAUAGGUGUGGAAUCCUGGAAUGGUACCACGCCCAAAUGUAAGCGCAUCCAUGUUUGCGUGCACGCCCGAGGAUGGGGCUGCGGCCGAUCAGGCAGUUGGUGAGGUAACGGCUCACCAAACCUUUGACCGGUACGGGCCAUGAGAGUGGUAGCCCGGAGAUGGGCGCUGAGACAAGGGCCCAGGCCCUACGGGGCGCAGCAGGCGCGAAACCUCCACAAUUCACGAAAGUGAGAUGGGGUUACCUCGAGUGCCGCCUGAAGAAGGCGGCUUUUCCAUUGUGUAAUGAGCCGUGGGAAUAAGAGGGGGGCAAGACUGGUGUCAGCCGCCGCGGUAACACCAGCUCCUCGAGUGGUGGGGAUGAUUAUUUGGCCUAAAACGUUCGUAGCCGGCUCAGUAAAUCUUUCGUUAAAUCCAACGUCAUAAGCGUUGGGCUGCGAGAGACACUGCUGAACUAGAGGGUGGGCGAGGUUAGCGGUAUUUCUGGGGUAGGGGCGAAAUCCAUUGAUCCCAGGAGGACCACCAGUGGCGAAGGCUGUUGACCAGAACACGCCUGACGGUGAUGGACGAAAGCUGGGGUAGCGAAUCGGAUUAGAUACCCGAGUAGUCCCAGCCGUAAACGAUGCAUGCUAGGUGUUGGA
rnacentral:rRNA from 1 species